rnacentral:rRNA from 1 species
UACGUAGGGUGCAAGCGUUGUCCGGAAUUAUUGGGCGUAAAGAGUUCGUAGGCGGUUUGUCGCGUCCGUUGUGAAAGCUUGGGGCUCAACCCCAGGUCUGCAGUGGAUACGGGCAGGCUAGAGUCAGGUAGGGGAGAACGGAAUUCCUGGUGUAGCGGUGAAAUGCGCAGAUAUCAGGAGGAACACCGGUGGCGAAGGCGGGUCUCUGGGCCGAUACUGACGCUGAGGAGCGAAAGCAUGGGGAGCGAACAGG